UACUCCUACGGGAGGCAGCAGUGGGGAAUAUUGCACAAUGGGCGCAAGCCUGAUGCAGCCAUGCCGCGUGUAUGAUGAAGGCCUUCGGGUUGUAAAGUACUUUCAGCGGGGAGGAAGGGAGUAAAGUUAAUACCUUUGCUCAUUGACGUUACCCGCAGAAGAAGCACCGGCUAACUCCGUGCCAGCAGCCGCGGUAAUAC
rnacentral:rRNA from 1 species